CCUACGGGAGGCUGCAGUGGGGAAUAUUGCACAAUGGGGGAAACCCUGAUGCAGCGACGCCGCGUGAAGGAAGAAGGUUUUCGGAUCGGAAACUUCUAUCAGCAGGGAAGAAGAAAGUGACAGUACCUGACUAAGAAGCCCCGGCUAACUACGUGCCAGCAGCCGCGGUAAUACGUAGGGGGCAAGCGUUAUCCGGAAUGACUGGGUGUAAAGGGUGCGUGGGCGGUAGGGCAAGUCAGAUGUGAAAGCCCGGGGCUCAACCCCGGGACUGCAUUUGAAAGUGUGCUACUAGAGUGCAGGAGAGAAAAGCGGAGUUCAUACUGUAGCCGUUAAAUGCAUCGAUACUAGGAAGAACACCAGGGGCGAAGGCGGCUUUCUAGACUCUAACUCACGCAGAGGCACGAAAGCGGGUGGAGCGAGCAGUACUAGAUACCCGAUUAGUC
rnacentral:rRNA from 1 species